rnacentral:rRNA from 1 species
UCGAGGAUCUUCGGCAAUGGGCGCAAGCCUGACCGAGCGACGCCGCGUGUGCGAAGAAGGCCUUCGGGUUGUAAAGCACUGUCGGGGGGGAGAAAGCCCGCAAGGGUUGAUCGACCCCCGGAGGAAGCACGGGCUAAGUUCGUGCCAGCAGCCGCGGUAAGACGAACCGUGCGAACGUUGUUCGGAUUCACUGGGCUUAAAGGGCGCGUAGGCGGGGGACCCAGUCGGUGGUGAAAUCGUCCGGCCCAACCGGACAACCGCCUCCGAUACUGGUCCCCUUGAGGGGGGUAGGGGCAUGCGGAACUUCGGGUGGAGCGGUGAAAUGCGUAGAUAUCCGAAGGAACGCCGGUGGCGAAAGCGGCGUGCUGGACCCUUUCUGACGCUGAGGCGCGAAAGCCAGGGGAGCAAACGGGAUUAGAUACCCCCGUAGUCC